AGGCUUAAUACAUGCAAGUCGUGGGGCAGCGCAGUGUAGCAAUACAUGGGCGGCGACCGGCAAACGGGUGCGGAACACGUACGCAACCUUCCUUUAAGUGGGGGAUAGCCCAGGGAAACUUGGAUUAAUACCCCGUAUCAUUAUGAGAUGGCAUCAUCUUAUAAUUAAAGCUCCGGCGCUUAGAGAUGGGCGUGCGUCUGAUUAGGUAGUUGGCGGGGUAACGGCCCACCAAGCCUACGAUCAGUAACUGGUGUGAGAGCACGACCAGUCACACGGGCACUGAGACACGGGCCCG
rnacentral:rRNA from 1 species